ensembl:lncRNA
GGAUUCUGCUUAUACAGAAGACCAGCUGAAACAUCUAGCCUCCUGGAACUGAGCAACUAAUAUCUUCUUGGUUUUCCCAUUCACAGGUGUUGGAUUAGUUGGAGUGCAGACUCUAUGAAUCUGUCCACUAUUUUCUUCAUGCUUCACAAUGGAGUUGAUGUCAGCCCAUAAACCACAGGCUAAAUUAGCAACUGUGCAGAGGAAAUCUGUUAUCAUGUGGCAUGGUACAUGCUCAUCUCAGGUUUGAUAUUCCCAUGGAGACUUGAAUUAUGAUUCCAUCAUUUGCCUACUUUUAGGACUUCUCUUCCCUAUCAGAAAAGUCACCACUGUUCCCAUAAGCAGGGCUCUAAGAACCAGAGCAGUCACAAUAGCCAUGAAUGAGAAGGUACACAGGGGCAGCUCUUGUUAGUGAAAGGAAAGAAAGCAAGUAUGAGGCCUCUGACCUUCAGCUCUCCAUCUCGACCCUGUUCUAGUUAUCCAACAGAUCCCCAUUCCCUCUUUAUAGUCUCUGUGCUCACUCCCAAUCCUUACCACAUCUUGGUGUAAUGGGCUCAUCUCAUGAUUCACACGACUUCUAUAUCUUUGCUCUUCCCCAGGGCAUCACCACACUGCUCUUCUAUGGAAGGUUCCAUCCCCUGCAGGCCUAUGCUGUACCACCUCCAUGUCCUGGGUCUGAUUGCUCUCAUACCUCUGCAAGGUUUAGCCCUCUGGGACCAAUCCUCAGAGGACAGGAGCUCCAGUCUUAGAACACAUGAAACAUUUUCUGUCCUCAUCUGUACAAGAUUUCCUUCCCAUAGUCCAUCUGUGAGAGGAGUGACUUCCCACAUUCAAUCUCCAGGUACACACUUUCUUGGCUUUUACCAAACACUCUUCACCUGGCCUGGGCUUCCUGAUCCUCAGUUCAUCAGGGUUGAUUUUCUGGACGACACCAAUUUGAGAGAUUCAACAACAGAAAAGAUGUUCAGUGGAUGGAACAAUGUGCACCAUGUGUAGAUCAAAAGAAACCAGAGUAUUGGGAGAAUAACACAGACAUUGUUUUGGGCUAUUAUCAGGAAUUCAGAGAGUUACUGUAAAGAAUGCUCUGAAUCUACAAUUUCAAUGCAACUGGUGAGCAAGCCCCAUUCAGAAUUCCCAAAUUUCCAGCUCUCCAUGGGGUUGUUCCUGACUUCCAUGUCCAAGUACUUCCCCUGGAAAAAGUGAUCCAUGGCACUAGAGAGCCAUGGGACACUCUUCUGAAUUUCUGUCCACUUUGAUACUAAAUCAGUCCACUUAGAAAGGGCAUAUCGAAGGGACAAAUUCUCUGCAGAAGCCUAUCACUUGUCGGGACCUGUAGGAGCGGCUGAUAGUGUGUUCUUGCUCAUAAUAUCACACAAUCAAGAGUAGGUAUGGCUGCUACGCCCUGCUUCAAUGUGACUUCGGUCAUGAAUUUUUUGAAAUGGCCUUCAAUGGCCAUGAUUAUAUCAUGCUGAAUGAAGACCUGAAGAUUUGGAUCACAGUUGGCAAGGUUGCUUUGAUGCUUAGGUAUUGUGGAAUUCAUCAGAUUUUGCACAAAUUUUGUAGACUUACCUGUUGGGAAGUUGUGUGGAUUUACUCUUCAC